AGGGAGAAGGCUAUGGUUAAAAUUCUUAAUCCCCAGAGCAAACAUCAAACAGGUCAUUCAAAAAGAAAAAAAAAUCCCAUCACUGUGUAGGUAGCAUCGGGAAGAGCUCCUGUGCUGUUCCUGACUGAAGUAAAGCAUGACGAAGAGCACUUGACUGUCUCCUGAGAGCUCCUGAGCCUGUCUCCUGAGAGAUCUGUGACUGAGAACAGCAUCAGUGAAGGUCCGAUCUUUGAAGAAGAAACAGCCUUCUAGCUUGGUUUCUAGGGAAGAAGCCACUACAGCAAUGCACAAUGGCAGAAGUCCUGCAGCCCAUGCAGGUGAGCAUGACUGAAGACAAGUGAGCCAAGAACAUUUCCAUCCUUCCUUGCUGUGACAGCCUUGACUGAAUCCAAGCAGGACAAAGACUAAUUGUAUUUUCUAUCAUUUUCCAUGUUACUGAUGGUGUCAUUCGCAGAGCAUCUUUGCUUCCCCUUAGCUCAAAGGCAGCGUGCUACCACCAGGAAAGAAGGGGCAUCAGGAGCAAAUGCUGAUGUACUGCGGGAGAGCAGGUACCAAUGGAGAAGUGUCAUUUCAGUACAACACCUUUACACUUCAGCGGCACAUCUAAGUUGAUUCCACAAGCAAGAGCCAAAGCAGUCUGGCAACAAUCCUGCUAAGAAGUUCACACUAUGUGUCCUUUACACAGUUUUUUUUCUCUUUGUUGGGUCUUGAGUACUUUGCCAAAGGGCUGUCUCCUGUUAACAGCCAUCCUCCUCCUGAGGCUAGCCGGGCAGC